rnacentral:rRNA from 1 species
CAUGCUUAUCGGACCCUUCGGGGCGAGAGGGUGUGGCGGAGCGUGGGAUCCGAUCCGGUAGUAGUCAAGCGAUGGGGUGACGCAGGAAGGUAGCCCAACCGUGGCGAUGGUUGUCCACGGGUAAGCAGGUAGGGUGUGUCCUAGGCAAAUCCGGGACACUGUCUUUGAUGACGGACCUGAGACGUGACGCCGACCCCGUAUGGGGGAAGUGGGUAAUCCUAUGCUGUCAAGAAAAACCUCUAGCGAGCUAUACGCCGCCCGUACCCCAAACCGACUCAGGUGAUCAGGUAGAGAAUACCAAGGCGAUCGAGCGAACCAUGGUUAAGGAACUCGGCAAAAUGCCCCCGUAACUUCGGGAGAAGGGGGGCCCGAACCGUCAUGGCCUUUACGGCCGGCAGCGGGGAGGGCCGCAGAGACCAGGCCCAAGCGACUGUUUACUAAAAACACAGGUCCGUGCGAAGUUGUAAGACGAUGUAUACGGACUGACUCCUGCCCGGUGCUGGAAGGUUAAGGGGACCGGUUAGCCCACUUGUGGGUGAAGCUGAGAACUUAAGCCCCAGUAAACGGCGGUGGUAACUAUAACCAUCCUAAGGUAGCGAAAUUCCUUGUCGGGUAAGUUCCGACCUGCACGAAUGGAGUAACGACUUGGGCGCUGUCUCAACCGUGGACUCGGCGAAAUUGCACUACGAGUAAAGAUGCUCGUUACGCGCGGCAGGACGGAAAGACCCCGGGACCUUUACUAUAGUUUGGUAUUGGUGUUUGGUUCGGCUUGUGUAGGAUAGGUGGGAGACUGUGAAGCGGCCACGCCAGUGGUUGUGGAGUCAACGUUGAAAUACCACUCUGGUCGUACUAGAUAUCUAACCUAGGUCCAUGAUCUGGAUCAGGGACAGUGCCUGAUGGGUAGUUUAACUGGGGCGGUUGCCUCCUAAAGUGUAACGGAGGCGCUCAAAGGUUCCCUCAGCCUGGUUGGCAAUCAGGUGGCGAGUGUAAGUGCACAAGGGAGCUUGACUGUGAGACAGACAUGUCGAGCAGGGACGAAAGUCGGAACUAGUGAUCCGGCGCCAGCAGGUGGAAGCGGCGUCGCUCAACGGAUAAAAGGUACCCCGGGGAUAACAGGCUGAUCUUCCCCAAGAGUCCAUAUCGACGGGAUGGUUUGGCACCUCGAUGUCGGCUCGUCGCAUCCUGGGGCUGGAGUAGGUCCCAAGGGUUGGGCUGUUCGCCCAUUAAAGCGGCACGCGAGCUGGGUUUAGAACGUCGUGAGACAGUUCGGUCCCUAUCCGCCGCGCGCGCAGGAAACUUGAGAAAAGCUGUCCCUAGUACGAGAGGACCGGGAUGGACGAACCUCUGGUGUGCCAGUUGUCCCGCCAGGGGCACGGCUGGUUAGCUACGUUCGGAAGUGAUAACCGCUGAAUGCAUCUAAGCGGGAAGCACAUUUCAAGAUAAGGUUUCCCACCACAAUUGUGGGUAAGGCCCCCAACAGACUAUUGGGUUGAUAGGCCGGAGGUAUACAGCAGCAAUGCCUAGCCGACCGGUACUAAUAGGCCGAGGGCUUGUCUUC